rnacentral:rRNA from 1 species
UACGUAGGUGGCGAGCGUUGUCCGGAAUUACUGGGCGUAAAGGGAGCGUAGGCGGUUUAUUAAGUGGGAUGUGAAAUCCCCGGGCUUAACCUGGGAAUUGCAUUCCAAACUGAUUAACUAGAGUGCAGGAGAGGAAAGUGGAAUUCCAAGUGUAGCGGUGAAAUGCGUAGAGAUUUGGAGGAACACCAGUGGCGAAGGCGACUUUCUGGACUGUAACUGACGCUGAGGCUCGAGAGCGUGGGGAGCAAACAGG